rnacentral:rRNA from 1 species
GACGAACGCUGGCGGCGUGCUUAACACAUGCAAGUCGAACGGAAAGGCCCUGCUUGCAGGGUACUCGAGUGGCGAACGGGUGAGUAACACGUGGGUGAUCUGCCCUGCACUUCGGGAUAAGCCUGGGAAACUGGGUCUAAUACCGGAUAGGAGCCAUUUUUAGUGUGAUGGUUGGAAAGUUUUUUCGGUGUAGGUUGAGCUCGCGGCCUAUCAGCUUGUUGGUGGGGUAAUGGCCUACCAAGGCGGCGACGGGUAGCCGGCCUGAGAGGGUGGACGGCCACAUUGGGACUGAGAUACGGCCCAGACUCCUACGGGAGGCAGCAGUGGGGAAUAUUGCACAAUGGGCGCAAGCCUGAUGCAGCGACGCCGCGUGGGGGAUGACGGCCUUCGGGUUGUAAACUCCUUUCGCUAGGGACGAAGCUUUUUGUGACGGUACCUAGAGAAGAAGCACCGGCUAACUACGUG